rnacentral:tRNA from 1 species
AUAAACAAUUUAAUGCUUUUUUAAAAGUUAGAAGCUUUAUAUAUUAUUUCUUU